rnacentral:lncRNA from 1 species
UUUCUAAUGAUCAUGAUCUUUUCCUCAAAGAAGUUCAUAAAUGUAUUACUGCUGAAGUGAAAGCCAUCCUCCAUUUGCGAAGGCUGCUUUUUAGUUAGCUUUGCGACAGUAUCAAAAAGAAAUUUCAGAUUGUUCUUAUUUUCCUCAAUUAAGUUGGAAAAAUAGGAUGAUCGAGCAGCAGUGAGGGCUCUUCGAUACUGCACGGUACUGUCUUUCCAAGCUAGUCGGAAGACUUCCAGUUUGGUGUGGCGCCAUUUCCGUUCCAAUUUUCUGGAAGCUUGCUUCGGAGCUCGUGUAUUUUCUGUAUACCAGGGAGCUAGUUUCUUAUGACAGAUGUUUUUAAUUUUUAGGGGUGCAACUGCAUCUAGGGUAUUGCGCAAGGUUAAAUUGAGUUCCUCGGUUAGGUGGUUAACUGAUUUUUGUCCUCUGACGUCCUUGGGUAGGCAGAGGCAGUCUGGAAGGGCAUCAAGGAAUCCUUGGGUUGUCUGAGAAUUUAUAGCACGACUUUUAAUGCUCCUUGGUUGGGGUCUGAGCAGAUUAUUUGUUGCAAUUGCAAACGUAAUAAAAUGGUGGUCCGAUAGUCCAGGAUUAUGAGGAAAAACAUUAAGAUCCACAACAUUUAUUCCAUGGGACAAAACUAGGUCCAGAGUAUGACUGUGGCAGUGAGUAGGUCCAGAGACAUGUUGGACAAAACCCACUGAGUCGAUGAUGGCUCCGAAAGCCUUUUGGAGUGGGUCUGUGUACUUUUCCAUGUGAAUGUUAAAGUCACCAAAAAUUAGAAUAUUAUCUGCUAUGACUACAAGAUCCGAUAGGAAUUCAGGGAACUCAGUGAGGAACACUGCAUAUGGCCCAGGAGGCCUGUAAACAGUAGCUAUAAAAAGUGAGUGAGUAGGCUGCAUAGAUUUCAUGACUAGAAGCUCAAAAGACGAAAACGUCAUUGUUUUUUUUUUGUAAAUUGAAAUUUGCUAUCGUAAAUGUUAGCAACACCUCCGCCUUUGCCGGAUGCACGGGGGGUAUGGUCACUAGUGUAACCAGGGGGUGAGGCCUCAUUUAACACAGUAAAUUCAUCAGGCUUAAGCCAUGUUUCAGUCAGGCCAAUCACAUCAAGAUUAUUAUCAGUGAUUAGUUCAUUGACUAUAACUGCCUUGGAAGUGAGGGAUCUAACAUUAAGUAACCCAAUUUUGAGAUGUGAGGUAUCACAAUAUCUUUCAAUAAUGGCAGGAAUGGAGGAGGUCUUUAUACUAGUGAGAUUGCUAAAGCGAACACUGCCAUUUUUAAUUUUGCCCAACCUAGAUCGAGGCACAGACACGUUCUCAAUGGGGAAAGCUGAGCUGACUACGCUGACUGUGCUAGUGGCAGAAAACAUUUAUGAGGUGAAAAGUUGUGUUUAUACAACAAAGCCCAGAAAAUUAAAGCCUGCUUGUGAAAAGCCGGCAGUUUCACAGGAAGUUUACCCACAAUAUAUGGACAUUGUAGUAAAAAAUUAAGCCCUCCGAACUUCUGAAAAACAAAAUGAGGUAUAAUAUUCCAGAAACUAUGAGGAUUUUUCUGUACCUUUUUAAUCCAGUUGACCUUUAUCUGAUUGAAGAGAGUGAAGUCUAAGACAUUUAGAUCGCCAUCACAAACCUUGUUGGUGAUAACAUCUCUUUUUAUCUUAUAUGGCUUGUUUUUCCAUAUGAAGUUGUACAAAAGCCUAUCUAAGGUACAGCAAGUGGAUUUGGGAAUGUCAAUAGAUGAAAAAAAGAGCCCAUCAGCUUUGGAUAAAAGCACCCUUCCUUGAAGACUUAAAUCCCUCACUAACCAUGAGGAUAAAGACAGAUUCAGUUACAGGGUUCAAAUUAAGAUCAUUCACAGCCUUAAGAUUUUUGGUGAUCUUUACACCGAGGUAGUUUACAGUAUCUUUUUCAGAGAUGUUACAAUCUGCUGGAUUGACAGCUCCUUUCAAAACAAACAUCUCACAUUUGGAAAGAUUUAAUGCCAAACACGAGAUUUUGGAGAACUGCUUCACAAUAUCCAAUGCUAAUCUAGCUUGUGACACAUUUAAAAAAAAAAAGGUGAGUUAUCAUCCGCCAGUUGGGAUAUCUUGAUCUCUCUGGCCUGGAAUGUAAUGCCUUCAAAUGAACUUUUAUGAACUAAAGAGCAUAACAUUUAAGAUACUAACAAAAAUAAAAAAGGUGAAAUUGGACAACCUUGUCGUAUUCUUUUGUAAAUGUUAAACCAGAGUUUGAUACAGCUAUUGCCACCAUUAUACAGAGUUCUAAUAGCAUCAACAAAAAAACGACCAAAUUUCAAAUGCUUAAGACAAUCAAAGAUAAAAUUGUGACUUACUGUAUCAAAUGCUUUCUGAAAAUCCCAAAAUAGGAUAACAGGGAAGUCAUCCAAUAGAUCACAAUACUCAACCAAGUCUAACACCAGCCUCAGAUUAUCAGAUAUAUGGCGCCCUUUCAUAAACCCUGAUUGACAUUCAUCAAUCAGAUCAUUCAAGCCAGACUUUAACCUUUUUGCAAAGACUAAGGCUAUAAUUUUGUAGUCAUUAUUUAGGAGUGUGAUUGGACGGCAAUUAUCAAUAUUUAAGAGAUCCUGUUGGGAGAGACGGACCAAGGUGCAGCGUAAUUGGAGUUCCACAUCUUUAUUUUAGUGAAACUUAAACAAACCAAGAAACAAACAACGACCAUGAAGUACCAUAGUGCUACAUGCACUCACUCAAAACAAUAUCCCACAAAACACAGGUGGGAAACAGGCUACCUAAAUAUGAUCCACAAUUAGAGGCAACGAUUACCAGCUGCCUCUAAUUGGGAACCAUACAACUCACCAACAUAGAAAUACAAUGACUAGAACACCCCCCUAGUCACACUCUGACCUAAACACCAAGGGCUCUCUAUGUUCAGGGCGUGACAGUACCCCCCCUCUGCACUGGCGCAGAGGAAUACUCCGGCCCUGGAGCGGGACUGGAUGCCGUGCCUGGACGCCGUGCCUGGACUGGGCACCGGCGCAGAGGAAGGCUCCGGCCAUGGAACGGGACUGGACGCCGUGCCUGGACUGGGCCCCGGCACAGAGAAAGGCUCCUGCCAUGGAGUGGGACUGGACGCCGUGCCUGGACGCCAUGCCUGGACUGGGCACCGGCGCAGAGGAAGGCUCCGGCCAUGGAACGGGACUGGACGCCGUGCCUGGACUGGGCCCCGGCGCAGAGAAAGGCUCCUGCCAUGGAGCGGGACUGGACAUCGUGCCUGGACUGGGCACCGGCGCAGAGAAAGGCUCCUGCCCUGGCACUGGCGCAGGAAGCUCCGGGCCGUGGACCAUCAUUGGAAGCUCCAGACAGUGGACUGUCGCUGGAAGCUCCGGGCCGUUGACCGUCGCUGGAAGCUCCGGGCCGUUGACCGUCGCUGGAAGCUCCGGGCCGUUGACCGUCGCUGGAAGCUCCGGGCCGUGAACCGUCGCUGGAAGCUCCGGGCUGUAGACCGUCGCUGGAAGCUCCGGGCUGUAGACCGUCGCUGGAGUCUUAGUGCAUGGAGCCAGUACAGGUGACACCGGACUGGUGACACGCACUUCUGGGUGAGUACGAGGAGCUGGCACAGGACGUACCCAACUGGGGAGGCGCACUGGAGGCCUGGUGCGUGGAGCCAGCACAGGUGGCACCGGACUGUUGACAUGCACUCAGGGCGAGUGCGGGGAGCUGGCACAGGACGUACCAGACUGGGGAGGCGCACUGGAGGCCUGGUGCGUGGAGCCAGCACAGGUGGCACCAGACUGUUGACACGCACUUCAGGGCGAAUGCGGGGAGCUGGCACAGGACGUACCAGACUGGGGAGGAGCACUGGAGGCUUGGUGCGUGGAGCCGGCACAGGUGGCACCGGACUGGUGAUACGCACUUCAGGGCGAGUGCGGGGAGCUGGCACAUGAUGUACCGGACUGGGGAGGCGCACUGGAGGCCUGGUGCGUGGAGCCAGCACAGGUGGCACCGGACUGUUGACAUGCACUUCAGGGCGAGUGCGGGGAGCUGGCACAGGACAUACCAGACUGGGGAGGCGCACUGGAGGCCUAGUGCGUGGAGCCGGCACAGGUGGCACCAGACUGUUGACACGCACUUCGCCUCCCUGACGGUCUCUGGCUCUUCAGGGCGAGUGCGAGGAGCUGGCACAGAUGGCACCAGACUGGUGUCACGCUCUUCAGCACGCCUGUGCUGCAGCAUACUCCUAGCCAAAACCUCUCUCCUGUAUCCCUCAUUGAACUCCUCCAGAGACUCCCAUUCGGGCUCUGGCACUCUCCGCUACUCAGCCGUCCGCCCCAUGUGCCCCCCCCAAAAAAAAUCUUGGGGUUUCUGUGGCCGCAGUCCCCGGCGUUGUCGCUGUCCUUCCUGCGUCCUCUGCGACUUCCGCCAAGGAAGGGUCUCGUGUCCUCCCAUGAUCUCCUCCCAUGUCCAAAACUCCUUUAUCUCAUGAACACGCUGCUUGGUCCUUGUGUGGUGGGAUAUUCUGUCAUGGCUGUUGGGAGAGACGGACCAAGGCGCAGCGUGAUUGGAGUUCCACAUCUUUAUUUUAGUGAAACUUAAACAAACCAAGAAACAAACAACGACCGUGAAGUACCAUAGUGCUACAUGCACUCACUCAAAACAAUAUCCCACAAAACACAGGUGGGAAACAGGCUACCUAAAUAUGAUCCCUAAUUAGAGGCAACGAUUACCAGCUGCCUCUAAUUGGGAACCAUACAGCUCACCAACAUACAAAUACAAUGACUAGAACACCCCCCUAGUCACGCUCUGACCUAAACACCAUAGAGAACCAAGGGCUCUCUAUGGUCAGGGCGUGACAAACCCCUUGCUUCAGAGAUGCAGUUAGUUCUCCCUUUAUAGCCUCCUUAAAGGUUUCAAGUAAAAAUUGUGCUAUUUCUUCAGAGAAGGUUUUGUAAAAUUCAGAGGUUAAUCCAUCACAACCUGGAGAUUUGUUAUUUUUUAACUGAGCAACCCCGUACUGGAUGUCCAUAAUGGAUAAAUCUUGACAACAAGACUUCACUAACCGAAUUAACAUUCUCUAUAGAAUCAAGGAGAUCCUUAGAGUCACUCAAAUUGUUAUCUAAGGAGUAAAGAUUCUCAUAAAAUGUAGUGUUAAAGUCUGAUAACAACUCUCUAUCCUCAGUGGUAAGCCCAUUAAUCUUAAGUUUCCGAAGUGUGUUGAGUUCCCCUCUCCUCUUUUCCAAAUUAAAAAAGUAUCUACUGUUCUUUUCGCCUUUUUCAAGCCAUUGUUUUCUGGAUCUUAUGAAAGCUCCUCUAGUCUUUUCCUCAUACAAUGUAUCUAGUUGAUUCUGUAAAUCAUUCAAUUUAGCUUUCUCAUUAAGAUCAAGAUGCUCAAUCUCUGUGACAUCCGCAAUUGUCUUAGAGAGUUCAGCUACCUCACAUCUCCUUAAAGCAAGCCGUUUUCCAUAAGUAAUACAGGCUGAGUGGAUUUUAAAUUUCAGCAGUUCCCAAUAUUUCCCAUAUUCUGCAUUAGAUGUAGCUAAACUCCAGUAAACAGAAAUUAGAUUCUUAAUCACAUUUUUUAAAUCAUCAUGCAAUAACAAUGAGUUAUGUAAUUUCCAAUAACCACCAGAGUAUUUCUUACCAUCAUUACUGCAUAAUUCUUACAGUCAACCAUAUGACUUUAUGAUCCGUCAGGACUGCAGGCUGUAUUUUGACCUCUACAGUGUUGGGCUCAAGACUAGAGGAUAUCACCCACAAAUCAAUUCUUCAUUGUAAGGAACGAUCUCUAUUACUCCAUGUGUAUUGUUUCUCUCCAGGGUUUUUAACUCUCCAUAUGUCAAUUAAAUCCAGGCUUUGGUAGUAAUUCACCAAUUUGUUCACACCAAUGUUAGGCCUAUGGGGCAAUCUAUCAGUCUCAUUAGAAUAAACCAUAUUAAAAUCUCCAUCAACUAUAAUCUGACUGGAUGGAUAUUUUCUCAGAAGACUUUUAAGAAUUUCUUCAAUUUCCUCUAGAAGUAAGUUAUUUGGAGGACUUGAACAGUAUCCAUAUACAUUACACAACACAAAUAAUCUGUCCAUGUGGUUGAUGACCGCUACUAGCCAAUGUCCAUUGGAGUCCAUUUGAGUAAACAAAAAUGUACGAAUGAUUAGUCCCGUGGGCCAAAGAAAUGACAUUGCCCCACUGAUUUUUCCAAUAAUUAUAGUCCUCUUUGCAUGAAUGUGUUUCUUGAACGAAUACAAGAUCUGCGUUGCAGUCCUUACAAAACAAAAAAAGCUUUUUCUCUUCAACAGGUUUCGUAUCCCCCUGGCAUUGAUUGACAUAAACUUCAAGUCCAUAUCUAUAGAAUAGAAAGAAAAAUCCUAUGCAAUCUCAACUCUACCCUCUCUAUAAAAUGUUGCUUCAUAUAUGUAUUAACAGAAGUCUUAACUUGUAAACAGUAACACCAUAAUUCAAAACUAGAACGCUCAGUUUGCAGUGGGGAAGGAGUUACUUUGUAAACCCACCGACAGAACAAAUCACCCCGGUCGUAUUUAUUUUCCGUCGGCGAAAAAGGCUCUAAUUCCCCUGUAGUAUCCACCCUUUCCUUGAUUUCGGGCCUGUUGUAUAAGAGGCCACAAUUUUGCCUUUGCUGCCUUGUCUGCUGCAGUCAAGUCCUCACCGAAUCUAAAUUUUCUCUCUUUCAGAAAGGCACUUUCCUUUGCUUUCUUCCAAACUGCAUCUCUCGCUGUGCAAAAAGCAAACUGGAUGAUGAUCGAGUGCCUGACGAUGGCAUCUUGCUUAUUCCCAAUACGAUGAGCGACAUCCACAGCCAUAUAUCCAUCGGGGAAGUCCGGUGCCACACGGUUACAGAUGUCUCUUACUAAGCGCUUCACAUUCUCAUCCUGGUCCUCGGGGACACCAUAAAGCCGUAGCCCCCACCUUCUCCGGUAUUGCUCUGCUUCCGAUAAGAGCUCUUGCAUGUCUGCGAUGGUCUUCUCCUGUGCAGUGCAUUUCUCAGAAGUAGCAGUGUUUGCAAGUUUAAGCGCUUCGAUACUCUUGUAUGCAUGAUUCAGAGAGGUCUCGAGGUCAACUAUUUUUUUACGUGUUUUAGCGUAUCAUUUUCUCCAGACCAUCGUCUCUUUCGUUUAUCUUUGCAGAGACAGCAUCGAUUUAUGUUGACCUGUAGUUUGCGCAAAGACAAUUCCUUCUGGGUCUUUUUGGGUGCGGGACUAUUGACUGGAUUUUCAGAAUCAACCGAAUGUCCAGAAUCCUCCAUUUCUUCUCCUGAGGAGUCAGGUGUCGGUUUUUCUCCAACGUAUGAGUGCUCAGCUUGCAACUGCCUUCUCCUCCCUUUGCUCUUUCGCACAGUUUUUUCUUCCAUUUCUCAAAGUUUCAGAUCAAAUUAGCGGUCAACUAAGCGUUGUUCUCUAUUGUGUUUACUAUAAGCCAAGUUCCGUUACAUUUAAGUAAGUUUGAGUGGGAUAAACGUUAAGGUUACUCGGAGCAAGCUGAAAUCUCAUCUGCACUCGCCGCCAUCUUCAGCACCCCCCGGGCCGAGCCAACUCAGUCACACACUUAGCAGCCGAGAAGACAGAGGAAGGGCAGCUAUGAAAGCAACAGCUGGAAAAUGAGUCGGAAGCACAGUAGCAGUUGGAUGCAUUUUAAUAAUGUAGACAAUGUUAGAGCACAGUGUAGAAUUUGCCAAAACAAAAUCUCAUAUAAAGCCGGUUCUACGCAAAACCUAGACCGGCAUAUGCGAACUGUGCACCCAACUGUGAAGCUAGCUGUAGCGGAGCUUCGAGAAACUAGCGGGCCUGCUAGUGAUAGUGGUGGAGCCUGCACCUCCACAUGUGGAGAUGUAUCCACUCAGUCAAGUAGGCCUACUCCGUGACCCACAGAAACGCAGUCUUCUAUGGACCAGUUUAUGCCAAUGUCUGUAGCAAAACAAGGCCAAAUUGAUAUUGCAUUGGCUAAAAUGAUUGCCACUGAUUUCCAGCCAUUUUCGAACAUAGAGGACAGAGGUUUUAGAAAUUAUAGCAAUAGUCUAAAUCCAAUGUACACAAUUCCAAGCAGGAAAACCCUUUUAAAAUCACCUGAUUGUAAGAGAUGCUCUGAAGGUGAUGAAGCCCACUGUGGACAAAGUGAAAGCAGCUGUGGAAUACUUCCACCACAGGAGCACAGUAAGUGCUGAAAAACUAGUCUACACAAUGCCAGAUGGGGAUGCCUGAGCUGAGGCCUAAACAAGACUGCACUACAAGGUGGAAUUCAACAUUGUAUAUGUUGAAGCGGCUUCUUGAGUCAAAGGAUGCCAUCAUCUCUACCCUGGCCAUUGUCACAAUGCACCUGUUGAUGCUCUGGCCCAAGAGGAAUGGGAGGUGGUGAAUGAGGUGUGCAGAGUCCUGGAACCCUUUGAGCAGGUCACUGUGGAGAUCAGUGGAGAGAGCUAUGUGACAGCCUCAAAAAUGAUACUCCUGUGUAAGGAUCUGCAGCGAAUCACAGCCAGCCGCCAGAGAGAAGCAAAUGUAACCACAGGACAUGUGACAGCGUUGAUGGACACCUUAUGUUCAUCAAUGAACAGAAAGUUCCACAGAAUGGAAUAUAAUCACGUGCUAUCAGAAACCGCUGCACUUGACCCCAGGUUUAAGAAGUUAGCCUUCAGUGAUGUCAGAGCGAUUGAUGAGGCUCUUCAAAUAAUAACCUCAGCAGCAGGGAGGGACAGCCCCAGCAGUCAGCUGGCUCAGGCACCAGGAAGAAGAUGGAGCAGAUGGAGCAGAAGCACCAGCAGUAGUGCCACAAACGUCUGCUGUUUGGAUGCUGUUUGAUGAGAGAACAACUGGGGAUGCAGCACGAAGGAAUCCCUCAGCAGAUGCCAUAAUGGAGGUCCGAUCCUAUUUGGAGGAGCCCCUGGAGCUGGUGAAAGAACAAGGCCUCUGUCUACCCACAGCUUACUAAAGUCAUGACAGGGAGACUCUGCAUAGUGGUCACAUCCGUUCCCUCUGAGAGGGUCUUCUCGAAAACGGGACAAAUAAUUACUGAGAGAAGAAACCCCAUCAGCCCCACAAAAGUGAGGCAGCUUGCAUUUCUGAAUGAAAAUCUCUCAUAAAAGCUAAAUAUGGUCAGCAUUGCUGUGUGCUGCUGGUUAUAACAUGACAAUAAAGAGAGAGAAAAGAGGGACCAGUUUAAUGUUUUAAGUGGGAUGCUGCAGUUUUGCACAUUAUUUAUUUUUCUUUGAUAUGGAGCAAUAUUCUAUUAUUAUAUUGUUCAGAUUAUAUUCGUUUUGAAUUGUUACAUUUAUAUGCACUUUGUUUAUAUACAUUAAAAAAUGUAUACUUUAAAUGCACAUGUGUAAUAGCAUCCUUCUUUUUUACAUUUAUUUCAAUUUGUGGGAUGCUGCAGUUUUCCAAAUUGUUAUUUAUUUUUCUUUGAUAAGGUGCAAUAUUAUAUUAUGCUGUUCAGAUUGUAUUCGUUUUCAAUGGUUAGAUUUAUAUGCACUUUGUUUAUAUACAUUAAAAAGUUAUACUUCAAAUGUUUAAUAGCAUUAUUUUUCAUAACAAACCAAUGCAUUUUUAAAUACAUUGUGGUUAAGGUAGAGUAUGAUAUCAUUUAAUAAUUUAAUUAGAAUUGUUUAACACCAAUCAUAGUGAAACUAUCGCUAAAUGUCUGACUUUAAAAAAUACAAAACAUAUAUUUUUUAAAGAGUCGUUUGGGGGCCAAAAGAGCCGGCACUUUUUGGUGAGCUGAGCCGAACGAGCCGGCUCACUGAAAAGAGCUGGAAUGCCUAUCACUAGUGCAGCGGCACCACUUUAAUCUUAAAUUAGUGCAGUCACAUUCACGUUUUAUUGCGCUGUAUGGUCCUGUACAUCAUUAAGUCGUCACAGUCAUGUUAUAGCCAUGCAUAUUGUUUAUAGGAUAUGUGUUUUGUAUUCUGUCAUUCACUAUUGUAUCUUUAUUUCUCUCUUUAUUUGCAGACCACACACACACACUUUGGCUGAAGCAAGAUGCCAGACCACUAAGUGCCUUAUAGCCCAUCGACUACAUACAGUGUGCGGUGCUGUUCCAUGCCUGUGCAUCUUCAGCGUUAUUAAACCACCUCAACUGGAAUCCUACCUGUCUCAUCUGUGCCCUUACCAGCACACGGGAGCAAACACAUAAAGUAAAACGUAAUCUGAAGAAUAUACAGUCCACCAACAUCUGCAAGAUUUGAGUAACACUAAUGUAAUCUGUUGUUGAAUAUUGCAGGCAAUAAUUUGGGGGGAAAUUUCCCACAGUCAGGAUACACACCUAUGGAUAGACCGAGUGAUGGGAUGAUUGAUACCGGAGUUCCGACGUAGUUUUCAAAGCACUACUGAUCCAAAACAAUGUACCGAAGCUUGUUUCAAAGUAACAUUAUCACGCGAUCAAUGACAUCAGAGGCUUUGUUUCAUCACGUGGUUUUUCAAACUGUAUUUAGCAAAAUGCAAGAUCCCCCUGAAUUCUGCUGUGGUUCCGGGGCUUUCUUCGAUUCCAAAUUGCUUUCAAACACCUGGGAUUUGUUCAUAUAGUGUCACCUGAACGGUAGCUCAGCAGGUGAACAAGGGAAUGGGGUUGAAUACCAGCCAAGGCAUAUUAUGUAGAAAAUCGUUUUAUGUGAAACCACACCAAACAUUGUUUAAACAAUUAGUUUUAUUUAGAAAAGU